CUCUCUCUCUCUCUCUCUCUCUCUCUCUCUCUCUCUCUCUCUCUCUCUCGCUAUGUAUGUAUGUAUGUACGUACGUACGUACGUACGUACGUACGUACUGUACGUACUGUACGUACUGUACGUACUGUACGUACUGUACGUACUGUACGUACUGUACGUACUGUACGUACUGUACGUACUGUACGUACACGUACUGUACGUACUGUACGUACACGUACUGUACGUACUGUACGUACUGUACGUACUGUACGUAUGUACGUAUGUACGUAUGUACGUAUGUACG
rnacentral:lncRNA from 1 species